UGUGUGCUAUCAAUUCCAAGUUUACUUUCCACAGCAGUCACUGAGAGAGAGAGAGAAGGUAUUUCACUUCAUAGUUCGAGAUUACUCUGAUGUCCGACGGCUGAUUUGCCAGACAAGCUGGGACCGUGGGGAACUUUUAUGCUAGUAUACUUAAAUUACAAACUUAAAUAGUCCCAGUCCCAUAUAUUAUAUCAAGUAUUAUUGGAUGCCGAAUUGAAUUUUAAAUAGGUGCCGAUUUGACUAGAUGCCGAUUUAACCAGGUGCCGAUUUGACCAGGUGCCGAUUUGACUUGUACCGACUAUUCACUUCGUAUCUUAUCACCGUUAAUUCUAGGAGGAACCCCAUUUCCCAGUCCCAUAUAUUAUAUCAAAUAUUAUUGGAUGCCGAAUUGACUUUUAAAUAGGUGCCGAUUUGACUAGAUGCCGAUUUAACCAGGUGCCGAUUUGACUUUUUCUAUGGGUGCCGAUUUGACCAGGUGCCGAUUUGACUUGUACCCAGUAAUCUUCGUAUCUUAUCACCGUUAAUUCUAGGAGGAACCCCAUUUCUAACCCUUUAAUUAUUAAUUUCCUUUGGGUCAGUGGGCAUGAAUCCUUCCGUACACACUCCUCUGUUUAAAUUGAGAUCGUUCUUAAUAUAAUACGACGUUUAUCGACAUCUAACGAGUUAAUUUUUCUUGACGAUUUUGACGGGAAAUACUUCUGAAAGGGAGACAACUCGAAACGAUAAUAUGGAAGACUCCAUUUCGGCUAAAGGGGUGUUAUAGGUAAAACUUCAUUGAUUUUAAUUUAAAUGAUGCAUAUGAUUUUAAAUUAUGCAACAACAAUAUUAAACCCUCAAUAGCAGGCAGACAUAGAAAGAAUCCAAUGAGUUUCAAAUUAAUUAAUAAGCGGGGAAUCCAGAACAACCACUCAAUCUGAUACCCCUUGAAAUCAAGAAAACUAUACGCAUGCGCAUUAAUACAUAAACAAACCCGCGACGUGCGAUUUGGAACAAGAACGUUUAUUUAAUUUAUGAUAUGAUGAAUGAGUCUCAAUUUCUUUAUGAGAGUACAGUAUCAGUUUCAUAACGGUAAAAUAUAGAAAACUCCACUUCAGUUCUUAUAUGACAGAAAUAGAAUUAUCGGAAUUCAAAGAACUCUCGCAUUUAUCAAAACUGGGGAAUUCCCUCUGACGUGUUUCUAAAUUUAUAAAAACACUAAAUAUAAAUACUGCUUAAUUCUGAUUUUCCGUGUUGUUAAAAACACGCAUAUAAGUCAAGGGAAAAAUCAAACAUGAAGAUUAUGAGAAGAACAUUACAGGAAAGUUGUUUAUGUUCAAUCCUUUUG
rnacentral:lncRNA from 1 species